rnacentral:lncRNA from 1 species
AUGUUCCAGUGGUAGUUACUGAAACCAGGGAUAACACUAUACUCUGUGGCAGCAUAUGCAGAAUCCUCUAGAUUUUCUCUGCCUGCUUAGCUUCUGAGGACAGGUCAUCUUGUGUGGUCCUUUGAAUGGUGAUUGAUGGUGGAGAUUUUGAUUGAUGGUGGAGAUUUGGAUUUGUGCAGUAUCUGCUAGUAGGAUGAUGUGCUGCAGGUGGAAUGGAUAUUGUGAAGUACACUUGGUGCCUUUUGUGGUUUUGACUGAAAAUGCUGAUGCUGAUGCUUCUGCUUUGAGUCCUAAAGUUCAGUUGUUUUGAUAUUGCCUUUAUUUUGGGUGUGUCCAGAUGAAAUUAAGAAGAGAGGGGAACAUAGUUGAGUAACAGUCCUGGAAUAUGCACAGUGUUAUAAAGGAAAAUACAGAAUAGUACAAGAUCUUGGGACAAAAGCAACUGUCUGAUAACCUAAGGGUUCAAGUGAAUUGAUGAUACUUUGAUGCAUAUCUGAAAUCUGUUGAAUUGAAUAAGUAAUACAGUAUGGAUUCUUGAUAAAUCAAUCUCAGGCGUCAUUGCUUCAUUUUUUUUGAAGGUGCGCUGGGGGGAUGAAACCCCCUCCUGUAUUCAAUUAAACCACAGACUUCUGGCUACUGAAUUCAUCCUGUUGGCUUCCCAGCCUCUGCGCCAUGGGACAGGCCCUUGUUGCUUUGUAUGAUGAUUGAUGGUCAACGUUUGGAUUUGUGCAGCACCUGCUAGUAGGAUGAUGUGUUGUAUGUGGAAUGGAUAUAGUGAAGUACACUUGACGCCUUUUGUGGUGUUGUCUAAAAAAUGCUGGAGCUCCACUUGGAAUCCUAAAGUUGAGUUGUUUCAAGAUAUCCUUUAGUUUGGGUGUCUUCGGAUCAAAUAAAGGAGGGAGAAAAUAGUU